rnacentral:rRNA from 1 species
CCUACGGGGGGCUGCAGUGAGGAAUAUUGGGCAAUGGAGGCAACUCUGACCCAGCAAUGCCGCGUGCGGGAGGACGCCCUUCGGGGUGUAAACCGCUUUUCUCAGGGAGGAGCAAGGACCGUACCUGAGGAAGAAGUCACGGCUAACUACGUGCCAGCAGCCGCGGUAAUACGUAGGUGGCGAACGUUAUCCGGAGUUACUGGGCGUAAAGGGUCCGCAGGCGGGUCUGUAAGUCUGACGUGAAAUCUUCUGGCUCAACUAGAAGAGGUCGUUGG